GGAGUUGUCUCAACUGUGACAGCGGGCGGCUGCUGCAUUGACCAUGCCUACUCCGAGGCACCGGUACACUUUGGUCGGCUUUUCUGACGAAUUGGAUUGGAGAGUGUUGAAUUUUGUGGAACCAAUUCCAGCAAAAAGAAUAUGUAAAGCGUGUAGCCUAGUAACCAGUGUGACUGCUUUCCUGCCUUGUCUACACAUUGUCUGCAAGAACUACUACGAGCAGUGCCGCCAUGACGAAGGGCACUGCUGCCCACUCGAUGGUCAAAAAGCCCUGGAUGAAGACGUCGAAUGGAGGGAGUUUCCUGUGGGGAACCUGCUCAAACUGAAGGUGAAAUGCUGGAACGAAGAUCAUGGCUGCGACAUUGUUUUGCCUGCAUCAGAGCUCAACAGGCACUUUUGCAAAGAUUGUGGCCACCACUCCACUUCCUGUCCGAGAUGUUCUGUGGUCGUACGCUGUAAUAAUGUGUGCGCACACAUGCAGAGUGAUUGCAGGGAUCACGCGAUGUCUGUGCC